UACGUAGGUGGCGAGCGUUGUCCGGAUUUACUGGGCGUAAAGAGCGCGCAGGCGGUCGUACAAGUCGCGUGUGAAAGCCCCCGGCUCAACUGGGGAGGGUCACGCGAUACUGUUCGACUCGAAGGCAGGAGAGGGUAGUGGAAUUCCCGGUGUAGUGGUGAAAUGCGUAGAUAUCGGGAGGAACACCAGUGGCGAAGGCGGCUUGCUGGGCAUGAUCUGACGCUGAGGCGCGAAAGCGUGGGGAGCAAACAGG
rnacentral:rRNA from 1 species